rnacentral:lncRNA from 1 species
CGGGUCCGCAGCAAAGUCAGUCCUCCCCUCCUCAGAAGAAAUAAGUCGACUGAGGGGCCUGAGACAGGAGAGACCGAGGUUUCACUGUUCCUAGCUAAAAUUCCAGGCUCUGUUGCAUCUUGUUAUGUUAAUAUGACACAGUUCUGGCUAAUAACAUGGAGAUGUAAGUCCCUGAGAGAAGGCUUCCUUUCAGAAAUUUGUCUUCAGAAAUAAAAAAGGCAGACCCCUGUGAAGGGCAAAGAAGAAAACUUUUGCUCUCAGAGACUAGAAGCAUGACAGAAAGCUACCCUUAGGUGAUUUGGACUGGUUUGAAGUGCAUGAAACAACAAACAGGAUGCCUAAACAUCCUUUAUUACAAACAGCUAUGAGAAUUUUGAGGCCAAGGAUAUGAUUGCAACAGGUAUUUCCGUGCCCAUUCGAUGCAUGACACAGUUCUGAAUGCCAACCUGGUAGAAUUAAAAGUACCAGCAUCAUUUCCCUCGAGCAGAAAAAAAUGCUGCUGGAAGCCUUACUAAGUCAAUAAAUGGAACACAUUGUGACAAGAAACAUGAAAUGGGAUUUCCUGAAACACAACAACAUAAAGGCAAGCAAACAAAUGAAAAGUUUAUAAGAAACAAAUGCUAUGCAGCUUCUAUAGAAAAUGACAAUUUCAUAUGCAAGGUUAUUAAGAGAUACACAUGCAAAUUUGGGCUAGUUUUUGAUGCUGUGCCUUUAUUUAUACUUAGAAUUUGAUAUAAUUUUUGGUUCAAUUUGUUACAAUACUGUCAUUAAACCUGAAUACUAAUUUCUCCACAUAAGCAAACUCUAAACAUUCAAUAUUAACAUCAUGCAACUGAAGUACCUUUAUU